AUUGGUUACAUAAUCACACAAGCAGAUGUUCAAGGCUACUGUUGGUGGUGCUGAAAUGUAGCAAUCUCUUGACAGUUUAGUGAGCUCAUGACCAGAGGAUCUGUCUUAUGCAAAGGUCAGAGAAGGCUUCCCUGAUAAAGGAAGGUCAUCCAAGAUGUGCAAAGAGUAGCAAAAAAUUUCGGUCGCCAGGCAUAAACAUUUCCCACAGAGACUGAACUGGGGCAGUCUGUCUUCUUGUUUCAGCACUCAUAAGCACUAGAACCUUCCAAGUGGAGGAAUGGAGAAUCUAGUGGCACAUGUGGCUUAAAUGGCAAACACAGACUCAAGCGUUGCUAAAAAGAAAAGAUCACCACAGCCAGAAGAGGUAAGAGGGAGAAAAAGGUUCAGUAUUUGGGUGGGUUAAACUGAAGUAACAGUUGAGGGAAUAGGUAAAUCUAGUCAGAAAGGAAAUUGGAACUCAAAUGUCUUCUCAGGAAACACUUGCUGCUGAGAGGUAAGAAGUCUCUAGAAACACCAUGUGAAAAUGUGUGCCGUGCCAUUACUGGAAUUGCUUUCAAAUUAGACUGCUCAAAUAUUCAAAAGAAUAAUCUAAGAAAAAAAACUGCAUUGUCGAAGAGCUAGACUAAGUGACCUGACAGGUCUUUUUCAUCUCCACCUUAGAGAAUUCUAUUAUCUGGUCUAUCUAUAUGAUAACCCCCUUGAAAAAAAACUGCACUGCAUAAAAUUACCUAUAUACUUUCAGUGGAAGAUAAAAAGAUGUGUACAGUGCACAAAUAGCAGCCUGUGCAGAUGUUAGCCAGGAAAAAUGAUUACAAUUUAGAAAACAGAGAUAUGUUAUCCUAAGAACCACAGGAGCAUACAAGAUAGGCAAGAUUCUAGGAAUUGAUUUUGAAAUGACAUUUAAUUGAAUAUUGAGUCAGGCUAUCACUCUAGCAUUGUUCUUUAGCUGUGUGAGCUCAGUUUUUAAAUCUAUAGCAUGAGAAAAUUGAAUCAUAUGUUACUAUGGUCCUUACCUCUCUCAUUAUGAAAAGUUUACAAUUUAAAUUAUAAACUACAGUGCUGUGAUAGCAAAAUCAUAUUUUGACAUAAAUAUUAAAGUGAGAAUAUUUAUAUUUUUAUGUGUGAAGUUCGUUAGUGGAAAAUUUUACAUGUAAUGAUGCAGCAAAACGUCUGGAGAGAAGAACUCCAUUGUAUUUUCCCAAGCAAAAUUGCCAGGACUUUAUUUCUCAAUGAAUGAAAUUCCAUGGGACAGAAGGCAUCUUUCCCUUGCAGUAUCGUGGUGCUAAAAACUUUUCAGUAACUACACCAAAUGCCUCAUAUGUUCCAUGUUUGCUCACAUUUCUCCAACUCAGAUGACUUCUUCUCCCUCUUUCUUUUCUUUAGACCCCUGUCUUCUGGUCCAUCAUGUACUUUUUUAACCUUUUAUUAUAUUCACAUAAUCAAUUUCUUUUUUUUUUUUUAGAAAUUGCCCCU
rnacentral:lncRNA from 1 species